AGAGUUUGAUCCUGGCUCAGGAUGAACGCUGGCGGCAUGCCUAAUACAUGCAAGUCGAACGAGAGGAAGGAAAGCUUGCUUUUCUGAAUCUAGUGGCGAACGGGUGAGUAACACGUAGGUAACCUGCCCAUGUGCCCGGGAUAACUUCUGGAAACGGAUGCUAAAACCGGAUAGGUAGCAGACAAGCAUUUGACUGCUAUUAAAGUGGCUAUGGCCAUGAACAUGGAUGGACCUGCGGUGCAUUAGCUAGUUGGUGAGGUAACGGCCCACCAAGGCGACGAUGCAUAGCCGGCCUGAGAGGGCGGACGGCCACAUUGGGACUGAGACACGGCCCAAACUCCUACGGGAGGCAGCAGUAGGGAAUUUUCGUCAAUGGGGGGAACCCUGAACGAGCAAUGCCGCGUGAGUGAGGAAGGUCUUCGGAUCGUAAAGCUCUGUUGUAAGAGAAAAACGGCACUCAUAGGGAAUGAUGGGUGAGUGAUGGUAUCUUACCAGAAAGUCACGGCUAACUACGUGCCAGCAGCCGCGGUAAUACGUAGGUGGCGAGCGUUAUCCGGAAUUAUUGGGCGUAAAGAGGGAGCAGGCGGCACUAAGGGUCUGUGGUGAAAGAUCGAAGCUUAACUUCGGUAAGCCAUGGAAACCGUAGAGCUAGAGUGUGUGAGAGGAUCGUGGAAUUCCAUGUGUAGCGGUGAAAUGCGUAGAUAUAUGGAGGAACACCAGUGGCGAAGGCGACGAUCUGGCGCAUAACUGACGCUCAGUCCCGAAAGCGUGGGGAGCAAAUAGGAUUAGAUACCCUAGUAGUCCACGCCGUAAACGAUGAGUACUAAGUGUUGGGAGUCAAAUCUCAGUGCUGCAGUUAACGCAAUAAGUACUCCGCCUGAGUAGUACGUUCGCAAGAAUGAAACUCAAAGGAAUUGACGGGGGCCCGCACAAGCGGUGGAGCAUGUGGUUUAAUUCGAAGCAACGCGAAGAACCUUACCAGGUCUUGACAUCCCGAUGACCGUUCCUUAAUCGGAACUUUUCUUCGGAACGUCGGAGACAGGUGGUGCAUGGUUGUCGUCAGCUCGUGUCGUGAGAUGUUGGGUUAAGUCCCGCAACGAGCGCAACCCCUGUUGCCAGUUGCCAGCAUUAAGUUGGGGACUCUGGCGAGACUGCCGGUGACAAGCCGGAGGAAGGCGGGGAUGACGUCAAAUCAUCAUGCCCCUUAUGACCUGGGCUACACACGUGCUACAAUGGACAGAGCAGAGGGAAGCGAAGCCGCGAGGUGGAGCGAAACCCAUAAAACUGUUCUCAGUUCGGACUGCAGUCUGCAACUCGACUGCACGAAGAUGGAAUCGCUAGUAAUCGCGAAUCAGCAUGUCGCGGUGAAUACGUUCUCGGGCCUUGUACACACCGCCCGUCACACCAUGAGAGUCGGUAACACCCGAAGCCGGUGGCCUAACCGCAAGGAAGGAGCUGUCUAAGGUGGGACUGAUGAUUGGGGUGAAGUCGUAACAAGGUAUCCCUACGGGAACGUGGGGAUG
rnacentral:rRNA from 1 species